rnacentral:rRNA from 1 species
UACAGAGGUCCCGAGCGUUGUUCGGAUUCACUGGGCGUAAAGGGUGCGUAGGCGGUUCUGAAAGUCUGAUGUGAAAUCUCCGGGCCCAACCCGGAAAUGGCAUUAGAAACUACAGGGCUAGAGGCUUGGAGGGGGAACUGGAAUUCUCGGUGUAGCAGUGAAAUGCGUAGAGAUCGAGAGGAACACCAGUGGCGAAGGCGGCUGCCUGGCCUGUUCUUGACGCUGAGGCGCGAAAGCUGGGGGAGCAAACGGG